GAUGAACGCUGGCGGCGUGCCUAAUACAUGCAAGUCGAGCGAACAGACGAGGAGCUUGCUCCUCUGACGUUAGCGGCGGACGGGUGAGUAACACGUGGAUAACCUACCUAUAAGACUGGGAUAACUUCGGGAAACCGGAGCUAAUACCCGAUAAUAUAUUGAACCGCAUGGUUCAAUAGUGAAAGACGGUUUUGCUGUCACUUAUAGGUGGAUCCGCGCCGCAUUAGCUAGUUGGUAAGGUAACGGCUUACCAAGGCGACGAUGCGUAGCCGACCUGAGAGGGUGAUCAGCCACACUGGAACUGAGACACGGUCCAGACUCCUACGGGAGGCAGCAGUAGGGAAUCUUCCGCAAUGGGCGAAAGCCUGACGGAGCAACGCCGCGUGAGUGAUGAAGGUCUUCGGAUCGUAAAACUCUGUUAUUAGGGAAGAACAAAUGUGUAAGUAACUAUGCACGUCUUGACGGUACCUAAUCAGAAAGCCACGGCUAACUACGUG
rnacentral:rRNA from 1 species